GUUAUUGUGGCCGAGUGGUUAAGGCGAUGCACUAGAAAUCCAUUGGGGUUUUUUUCCCGCGCAGGUUCAAAUCCUGCCAGCAACG